CCCCUCUCGGGAUCACACCCGGAGAGUUCCCAGUACUCUACCAGUCUUGGCUACAAGAGGAAGAGUCUAAUAGAGGCCUAUCCAUUCCAUUCCUAGCUUGGACAAUGGCUAGCAAGUGGAAGGCAAUCUGCUGCAAGU